rnacentral:rRNA from 1 species
AUACGGAGGGUCCAAGCGUUAUCCGGAAUCAUUGGGUUUAAAGGGUCCGUAGGCGGUCUGGUAAGUCAGUGGUGAAAGCCCAUCGCUCAACGGUGGAACGGCCAUUGAUACUGCCAGACUUGAAUUUCCAGGAAGCAACUAGAAUAUGUAGUGUAGCGGUGAAAUGCUUAGAUAUUACAUGGAAUACCAAUUGCGAAGGCAGGUUGCUACUGGUGGAUUGACGCUGAUGGACGAAAGCGUGGGUAGCGAACAGGAUUAGAUACCCUGGUAGUCCACGCCGUAAACGAUGGAUACUAGCUGUUGGGAGCAAUCUCAGUGGCUAAGCGAAAGUGAUAAGUAUCCCACCUGGGGAGUACGAACGCAAGUUUGAA